GCUGGGCGUGGGGGCGCAUGCCUGUAAUCCCAGCAGCUUGGGAGGCUGAGGCAGUUCAAAGCCAGCCUCGG
rnacentral:sRNA from 1 species